AAUAUACUCCCUCCGUCCUAAAAUUCUGGUCUUAGAUUUGUGUAGAUAUGAAUGUAUCUAGUCACAUUUUAGUAUUUAGAUACAUCUAUUUCUAAACAAACCUAAGACAAGAAUUUUGGGACGGAUGGAGUAUAUA
rnacentral:pre_miRNA from 1 species